UACGUAGGGGGCAAGCGUUGUCCGGAUUUAUUGGGCGUAAAGAGCGUGUAGGCGGCCAGGUAGGUCAGCUGUGAAAACUCGAGGCUCAACCUCGAGACGCCGGUUGAAACCAUCUGGCUAGAGUCCGGAAGAGGAGAGUGGAAUUCCUGGUGUAGCGGUGAAAUGCGCAGAUAUCAGGAGGAACACCGGUGGCGAAGGCAGGUCUCUGGGCCAAAACUGACGCUGAGGAGCGAAAGCGUGGGUAGCAAACAGG
rnacentral:rRNA from 1 species